AAAAAAAAAAAAAAAAAAAUCACACAGAACCUUAUUUAUGAACAAACCCCAUCCGGAGGAAGGGAGGACGCAACCCACCUUCUAGACAAGGAAGGAGGUUCCCCCUACCCAGAUGUGGCAGAAGAACCGCUGGAUGACAAUCAAAAUGAAGAUCGACUGUCCCAGAUGAAAAACAGAAAAAAGCUAGAGAGAACCCCAAGGAUGAGUUCCUACGAUGAUUUUGGACUCUAAUAAUAGGUCG
rnacentral:misc_RNA from 1 species